rnacentral:lncRNA from 10 species
ACUGUUGCAAGUGUGGCAGGGGGAAUUGAAAAGCCCCCCCCCCCUCAAGCUCUGGUCAUGAUGAAGGUACAAGGGAGACAUCCACAGGGAACCAUGAGCUCAGUGGUCUUGGAAUUGCUCACUAAGUCAGUCCUUCCUUAGCCUGGAAGUUGGUCAUGGAGUCACAAAGCCCAUGUACUUUACCAUCUAGGCCUUCACCUGGUCUGUGGACUUACACCCGUGUGCUUGGUUUACUGGUUCAGUAGUUCCUCAGACCAUGACAAAUGGAAGGAGCUAUACUGAAGAACAAUGAGGAACUCUUUGAAUUUUCCUGAGCACGUGACUUACUGCUGGGCCUUCCCUUAAACAUCAGAACAAUGAGAUUUGUCCCUAUUUUACAGGGGUUAGAAUAGACUAUUAAGGGACAACUGAGAAAGGACAGAGAAGUGACAGCCAGAGGUUGAGAGGGGCCAUAAAAACAUACAAUCAGACAUAUAUCUGCUACCACUUUGUAGCAAGAUGGUUCCUAUCAUAACUCUGGGUCAAAAAGAUAGUAAUUUGGUUUAUAAUGUUGAAAGAAAGCAGAAAGGCUCAUAGGUGGAAGGAACUUUCUUGCCUCAGAUAAGACUUUGGAUUGUGGACUUUUGAGUUAAUCCUGAAAUGAGUUAAGACUUGGGGGACCGUUGAGAAAGGAUGAUUGUAUUUUUCAAUGUGAGGAGGGGCCUGGUGUGAGGUGACCAGGAUCAUGGGGGUGGAUUUCUCCCUUGUUGUUCUCAUGAUAGUGGGUGAAUUCUCAUGAGAUCUGGUUGUUUAAAAAUGUGUAGCACCUUCCCGUUUGCUCUCCUCCUCCUGCUCCAGCCAUGAAAGACAUGCCUGCUUCCCCUUCACCUUCCACCGUGAUUGUAAGUUUCCUGAGGCCCCCCAGCCAUGCUUCCUG